rnacentral:rRNA from 1 species
GACGAACGCUGGCGGCGUGCCUAACACAUGCAAGUCGAACGGAAAGGCCUCUUUCGGGGGGUACUCGAGUGGCGAACGGGUGAGUAACACGUGAGUAACCUGCCCUUGACUUUGGGAUAACUUCAGUAAACUGGGGCUAAUACCGGAUAGGAGCUCCUGCUGCAUGGUGGGGGUUGGAAAGUUUCGGCGGUUGGGGAUGGACUCGCGGCUUAUCAGCUUGUUGGUGGGGUAGUGGCUUACCAAGGCCUUGACGGGUAGCCGGCCUGAGAGGGUGACCGGCCACAUUGGGACUGAGAUACGGCCCAGACUCCUACGGGAGGAAGCAGGGGGGAAUAUUGCACAAGGGGUGGAAGCCGGAUGCAGCAACGCCGUGUGCGGGAUGACGGCCUUCGGGUUGUAAAACGCUUUCGCUCAUGACGAAGCUUUGUGUGACGGUAGUGGGUAAAGAAGCACCGGCUAACUACGUG